rnacentral:rRNA from 1 species
UACGUAGGAGGCAAGCGUUGUCCGGAAUCACUGGGCGUAAAGAGCGUGUAGGCGGUCUGCCAAGUCUGUUGUGAAAGCGCCUGGCUUAACUGGGCGAGGUCGACGGAAACUGGCAAACUGGAGGCCGGUAGAGGAGGGUGGAAUUCCCGGUGUAGUGGUGAAAUGCGUAGAGAGUCGGGAGGAACACCAGUCGGCGAAGGCGGCCCUCU